UUUCUCACUGUCAAGUACGUUUAUCCUAUCUGUACACGAGUACUGUAUUACUACAGUCGAUGCACUAGAUGGCGCUCAUUCUACGUCAAUGGUUUGUUUGCAAAUUCAUUAAAACAGAGUAACUGACUUUGUGGGGCGUCCUCGUCAUUUGGAAAACCGUUCCAAACAAGCAAUUAAGUGUUUCAUAGCGUGAUACGCCGCUAUCCUUCCCAAUUUUACUGCUCCUGAUCCAAAGAUAUCAAAGGAACCUGGUGGAGCAAUGAAGAUUAUGAAACUGAAAUGGACUCUGACUGACAGGCAGGACGAUCCUCUCCUCGCUGAGCGGCUGGAACUCCUGGAAGUUGAAAUCGAACUCGUCGUCUGAGGCCAGUGGCUGGAGCUCGACCUGCUGGCGGAAAUGUCUGGCUCUGAUAGCCCGUCCUGCCAGGUCAAAGAAAGCUGUUCCUGCUGGGAUGCUGGAGCUGGUUCCAGGGUUGAGUAAUCUCAGACUCUUUCUGCCUCUGUUCGUCCCAUGGUAGACCGGUCCUGACACUCCCACGUCCUCCGCAUGGAACGCCCAGAUCACUCUCACUGUACUGCCCUGGGCAUUGACAAAUUAUGGGUCUGGAGGUUUCUGCUGAAAGCCAGGACGGUAUGUGUGCCAUUCUCUCUGGCGUACAGCAGCCGGUAGCUCUGCAGCGCAUCUUUAUGGACAUUUCUGUUUGAGUCCGUGUAGUAGUCCUGAGAAGAGUGAGGAGGAA